rnacentral:rRNA from 1 species
CAGUCGAGCGAGUCUGCCUUGAAGAUCGGAGUGCUUGCACUCUGUGAAACAAGAUACAGGCUAGCGGCGGGCGGGUGAGUAACACGUGGGUAACCUGCCCAAGAGAUCGGGAUAACACCUGGAAACAGAUGCUAAUACCGGAUAACAACAGAUGAUGCCUAUCAACUGUUUAAAAGAUGGUUCUGCUAUCACUCUUGGAUGGACCUGCGGUGCAUUAGCUAGUUGGUAGGGUAACGGCCUACCAAGGCGAUGAUGCAUAGCCGAGUUGAGAGACUGAUCGGCCACAUUGGGACUGAGACACGGCCCAAACUCCUACGGGAGGCAGCAGUAGGGAAUCUUCCACAAUGGACGCAAGUCUGAUGGAGCAACGCCGCGUGAGUGAAGAAGGGUUUCGGCUCGUAAAGCUCUGUUGUUGGUGAAGAAGGACAGGGGUAGUAACUGACCUUUGUUUGACGGUAAUCAAUUAGAAAGUCACGGCUAACUACGUGCCAGCAGCCGCGGUAAUACGUAGGUGGCAAGCGUUGUCCGGAUUUAUUGGGCGUAAAGCGAGUGCAGGCGGUUCGAUAAGUCUGAUGUGAAAGCCUUCGGCUCAACCGGAGAAUUGCAUCAGAAACUGUCGAGCUUGNNNNCAGAAGAGGAGAGUGGAACUCCAUGUGUAGCGGUGAAAUGCGUAGAUAUAUGGAAGAACACCGGUGGCGAAGGCGGCUCUCUGGUCUGUUACUGACGCUGAGGCUCGAAAGC